CUGCCAGCAGCCAGAGAGUCAGGAGCUCCUGGAGUAAUGAUGCGAGAAGCAGUGAAAGCAGCAGGGAAAUGUCUCUCACAAAGAUAAUCCCAAGCAGCAUUCAAAGAGGUUCCCACUUUGUGGUUUGUGGUUUAUCACAAUGGUUACAGCACAUGGACAAACAGCUACUGUCCUUUUUAUCUCCGCCAGGUGGCGUCUCCAGCUGACGUCACCCGACCCCAGCUGAAUAUGAGCGCAGCUGACGAACCGCAUGGGUGGUUUCACCGCACACGUUUCCCCACGCCUUUCAGACCCUGCAGGAGGUAAGUGGGGGCUUUCUUUUGCUUUGGCCUGGGGUCCUCCUGUAACCCUGGCUCCCCUGGGACACUCACAAAGUUCAUUUACCUGAGAUUUACUUUUUUAACUGCACAAUAGUAAUAAAUAGCCUAGGAAUAAAUCUAAAGGAAAUGUGAGAUCCCAGCCUAUGUCCUGAAAUAGUGGGUUUCUCCUAAGCGACCAUUCACAGAGACUAAGUAUGCUGGAUGACAAAGCAGACUCUUCCUGGUGGGCUGCUACAAAUUAGUAGAAGGUCAACACAUAGUAAUCAGCAGGGAUCCUGGUUUUCUCCGAUUUAAAAAAAAUCCCCAGCUUUUGGAUAUAAAAAAUUAACCUCAGGUAAUCAGGGUGUAGUAACCUGUACUGUCAUCCAAGGGGAUGGGACAAACUAACCACAUCGAUACUGAAUGUCAUGUAUAUUUAGCAAAGACAAGGACAUCCAUGUUUAAAAUCAUGUCAGGUGGUCCUGUUUUACCUUUGGUCACACUCUAUGGAUAGAUGAUCCCAACCUGAGGGAGCUACUAGAUACAGAGAUUGCAGAAGUGAUCAUGGAACAUAACAAUUCCAAGAAAACAGCCUAGACACAUUGACUCAUUUUGUGUUCCAGCAUUUGACCCUAAAUGCCAAAUUCUACAGCUCUUAUGUUCACGAGGUCCCUUCCAGCCCAAAACUUCUGUGAAUCUGUGUGUGUAAAGGGAACUCCUAUUGACCUGCUUAAAGAUCAUAGUUUCAUAGUUUCAUAGUUUUAGGGUCGGAAGGGACCUAAUAGAUCUUCUAGCCCGACCCCCCGCCAGGGCGGGAGAACAACAAAAGAACCCUAAACAAAAAAACGGGACU